UAUAAAUUUAAAUACAUGUAGUCUAUUAUGAAAUACAAAAAAGGUUUAAAUCAUGUCCGUUCUAAAUUUUAAUGCCUUCAACUUAGUGAUAUAACAUUGGUUUUUGUUACACCAACUUACACAGUCCGGAGCAUCUGCAGUUGUUGGUGGUAUCGCUGGCAAAAGAAAACGAUGAAGUUCAUCUUCCCUCUACUUGUCUUUGUUGUCCUAAUCAACGUAAAUGUUACAGGUGUACAGAUGGUUCCUAAUAUGAGUGGCAAUGGUAAACUGAGGAGAUACUUCUUACCAGGAGGAAGAUGGGGAGGAGCAGGAGGAGGAGAAAGUUUGAAAGCAAAAUUAGGAAUAGGAUGCUGGAGAACGGAUUCAUAACGGAAAAUGUAAGCCCAUGGGAAAUGUAUCUACAAGACUCCGUGGAGCAAGAGGAUCUUUGACUGGAUGAAUCAGUCGUGACUAUUGAAUAAAAUUAGAAUCAGUAAUAAUGUUUAAAAUAUAUAAUACAAAAGACAGUACUCCUCUGAUUUCUCUGUAUUAAAGCCCAAAAAUUCGAGUCUUUUAUUUUAAUAUAGUAGUAUAGAUGAACAAGAUAUUUCAAUGGCCAUUUCAGAAUCUUUAAAUGGUACCUGCAGCCCAGCCAAUGUAAAACGUAUGUCACUGAAUUUAU